rnacentral:rRNA from 1 species
GACGAACGCUGGCGGCGUGGAUUAGGCAUGCAAGUCGAACGGUAUCAUCCUUUCGGGGGUGAGAGAGUGGCGAACUGGUGAGUAACACGUAGGUUAUCUACCCUCAAGACGGGGACAACCCAGGGAAACUUGGGCUAAUACCGGAUGUGAGCAACUUUUAGUUGUUUGAAAGGUGGCGUAAGCUGUCGCUUGGGGAUGAGCCUGCGUCCUAUUAGUUAGUUGGUGAGGUAACGGCUCACCUAGGCAAUGAUAGGUAGGCGGCCUUAACGGGUGGUCGCCCACACUGGGAUUGAGAUACGGCCCAGACUCCUACGGGAGGCAGCAGUCGAGAAUAGUCUACAAUGGUCGGAAGACUGAUAGUGCGACGCCGCGUGAACGAUGAAUCCCUUCGGGGUGUAAAGUUCUUUUAUAUGUGAGCAGUGCUUCUUAUAUUAACAGUAUGGGGAGAGAGAUAUUAGCAUAUGAAUAAGCAACGGCUAACUCCGUGCCAGCAGCCGGGUAAUCU